AACUCCACAUCGAGGGGGAGUUAAAAUUGGUGAACCCAUUCGUUUUGCUGGUCCAAAUUCAAUAAUAUAAGGAUUCCCCUAACUUAGCAUUAGCCAUAAUAUAAUUAUAACAAAUGAUGCCGUGCGUUUCAGCUUUGGAGUUUUGGCUCCGAAUCAUUUUCAUUAUUUUCAUUUCGCGAUACGAUAAGUUGAGGAUACAAACUACGAAGAGAACAACAGCGUCUAAAAUAUCGCCACGUGGAAACUGGAAAGCAAUUCUUCAUGACACACUGUGAAUGAUGCGGGUGGGUGAAUGUACUCGGGAUAAAAGCUCAUUUAGUUAUUAUAUUUUAAGAUUAGUAUCUGUUUAGUUCUUAUAUUUUUUAAAAUGCCUUAAAAUAUCUCUACCGUUAAAGUAUUGAUACCCCUAACGUUACUUUUUAUUUUUUUUGACUUACUUUUACAAUAUUACCCUUUUAUGAUAAUUUUUUUAUUUAGAUAUUAAUA
rnacentral:lncRNA from 1 species